AAGCUGAUGCGGUGUGGUGAUAUAAUUCUCAGCAGUGAGUUGCUGUCAUACCCGUAGACCACAUAUAUGUGGAACGGUAACGACCAAGUAUGAAGAAAAUAUGGAUUAUCUUCUGCGAAGCCGAAGUAAAAACAAAGGUGCGUAACACGACUAAAUAACUAUUAGGCUAAUAGAUAAUACUAUCGAAUCGGAAUCGCAACAGGUGCCGACACCUGUAGUAAUAAUUUAAUGUUAUAGCUUUUGUAUGCCUUUGAAACCAUUCAGACUUAUUUACCGUUGUCAUGGAAUGGUUCAUUAGCCUAAUGGUUAUGAAUGUAUUCGUCUCCAAUUAGCCUUUAGGCAUAUGUAUUUUCUCUCUCCGGAGAUAUUUAGGAAGAUAACCAAACAAGCACUAAGUUAGCCAUUAUGUAAAAAAAACAUUGAUGGAAGAAAAAACGUACUGGAAAUAUGGAAAACUGUUUAGCCUACUGGAAAUGUUUUUAAAUAAUACUCUACCAAAUUAUUUACUGAAAUAUUAAUGAAAUAUAGGCUAAAAUUGGUAGACUGAUUUAACCGACUGAAUGUACAUUAUCCCUUACUUAACAUACAUAAAGUUUCUAUUGUGUUCAAUGGAGCUUGCUCGGCUGGUACAAGUGUGUAGGCUCCUGUGUUAUACCAAAUUAGUAAAGUGGUAAUAUUUAUAUGACAGGUUUCUCUUAUUUUUCCUCUUAGUUCCUGGAUCUAGUUUUCUACUGAACCUAUUUUCUAAUGUGUAAACAGCACUGGUCAUUGGCCGUGACAUUUCUGAUAAGAAGGUAUAGGUCACUUAUGAAAUGAUAUGACAUUAGAGACACAACCGAGGUGACAUAAAAUGAGCUGUUGGUCUAAGUAUAAGCAUCUUAUUUUGGGGUUAGGGGGAUGAUAAUGUUCUUGUUAAUAUGUUGAGUGUAGGCUAUAACCUUGCAUGGCAUUUAAACAGGUAAGUUUAGAUGUUUGGCGUGAUUGUUGAAGUCUAAAAUGACGUACAAUGAUGAGACCUUUCAAAUCACACUCCACUCCUUAAAAACAAGCUUUACAUGUUUGAUGCAUCAUCACAUUUGUUACAUAGGCGGGCCUACUCUAAUGUCUGUAGGGUCUCACAAUAUACCAGUUUUAAAAUAAUUAACAAUAAACAUAAUAUUAAAAAAUCACAGUUAUCAAUAUUGUGUGCAUUUGUAAUAAACUAUUUAAUAUCCAUUUAAAAAAUUGCCUUGAGAGUCACAAUGGUUACCAAAUCUCUCCCAGCCUCUGUUCUUGUGAUUUUGUUGGCCAUGAUAACCUUGUACUGACAAUCUGACAGCCCUAAUCUGUAUAUUUAUGCACAUAUAUUUUGCAAUGAACAUAGUUCAGAAGACAGAACCUUACUCAUGUAAUUGUAAUGUAAACCUACUGCUCUGUUAAUAAAACAUUGUUACACGGGGUACAUUGAUAAAUACAGUAUACACUAAAUAUAGAUAUAGGCCGAUACAUAUAUUGUCAAAUAUUAAAUACACAAAGUAUGCAGAGAUCCAGCAGAAUAAAAAUAGCUCAGAAUAAAAAUAGCUCACAGUCAUUUAAGGUAAAUCGAAACUAUGGGGAAAGUUGAAUUAUUGCAGAUUUACAUGAAGUUCACUGUUUGCAUCUCCUGUGUACUCAAAUUUCUCAAAUUCUUCUUAUUUGAGAAAUAUAUUUUUAGAGACUGUUGCAGGAAUACCUCGAUCUUUUUGUUGUGUUAUUUGCACAUAAAUACACUCACCAGUCACUUUACUAGCUACACCAUGCUAGUUCCUGGAUGGACCCCCUUUGCUUUCAGAACUGCCUUCAAGAAGGUUCUGUUCACUUUCCUCUGAGAUUUGUAUCUUAAAAUAUGCAAAUUUGUCAGCUGCACAUGCAUGAUGCAAAUCUCCUGUUCCACCACAUCCCAAAAGUGCUCUAUUAGACUGAGAUCUGUUCAGUGUAGAGACCAUCUGAGCAUGUUGAAGCACAUGCUGAAGAAACCAUGCUCAAGAGAUGAUCUGAGCUUUGUGUCGUGACACAUUAUUCUGCUGGAUAUGCCAUUAAAAGACUAAUGGAUGGUCAUCUGAAUACAUAUCAUCUACUCUUGCCUUUUUUCAGCUUGAGCUUCCUUUGACAUCAACAAGGCAUUUUCACUCAGACAGCAGAUUCUUACUGCGUAUUCAAUUUUCUUUCUACCCAUUCUCUGUGAACCAAAAAGAGGAUUCUGUGUGAAAAUCCUCAGAUCAACGGUUUCCUAAAUACUCUGGCAACAACAACUGCCAUGCUCAAAGUCACAUUUUAAACCUAUUUUGAUACUAUUGACCAUGUCUGCAUG